rnacentral:rRNA from 1 species
GGGUCUGCGUUUCAUUAGCUAGUUGGUAGGGUAAUGGCCUACCAAGGCAACGAUGAGUAACUGGUCUGAGAGGAUGAUCAGCCACACUGGAACUGAAACACGGUCCAGACUCCUACGGGAGGCAGCAGUGGGGAAUAUUGCGCAAUGGGCGAAAGCCUGACGCAGCAACGCCGUGUGAGGGAUGAAGGCUUUCGGGUCGUAAACCUCUGUCGGAAGGGAAGAACGGGCAUUGGUCUAAUAGGCCUUUGUUUUGACGGUACCUUUAGAGGAAGCACCGGCUAACUCCGUGCCAGCAGCCGCGGUAAUACGGAGGGUGCAAGCGUUAUUCGGAAUUACUGGGCGUAAAGCGCACGUAGGCGGCUUCGUAAGUCAGGGGUGAAAUCCCACGGCUCAACCGUGGAACUGCCUUUGAAACUGCAAGGCUUGAAUCCUGGAGAGGGUGGCGGAAUUCCUGGUGUAGGAGUGAAAUCCGUAGAUAUCAGGAGGAACACCGGUGGCGAAGGCGGCCACCUGGACAGGUAUUGACGCUGAGGUGCGAAAGUGUGGGGAGCAAACAGGAUUAGAUACCCUGGUAGUCCACACCGUAAACGAUGAACACUAGGUGCCGGGG